GUCACAAGGGAAAAAGUGAAGCUGCCAGCAUGAUCUAGCUUUGGUUACAGAUAUCAUACAUAUAUCUAUAUAGAUAGUUCAUUAGUAACCCUAGCUAGGUCAUGCUCUGACAGCCUCACUCCUUCCCAUUUGGGAC
rnacentral:pre_miRNA from 1 species